GCAUUUAAAAGCUGCUGCUGCAGUGCUGCUGCUCUGAGCUUCAAGAUGACUCACUGUCACCAUCUGAUUUUCACUUUAUGGACACUUUUCCUCUCUGGAUUCACUCAAGCUCAUCCUCAAGUCGUCCAUGUGAAGCCUGUUGAGAAUCCCACCUACGCUGAGGAAUUCCAGUGUGUAACAGAAUCCAACCCUGAACACACAAAGUACAGCUGGAGCAGACAGGGCUGGGAUGCUCUUCCUGAAGGAGUGAAAGCAGAGGGAGACCGACUACACUUCCUGAAGUCGACCUCUGACCUCAAUGGUCUCUACAUUUGUGUGGUAAAAAACCAGCUUGGAGCUGCAGCAGGUUCACUAUAUCGAUAUAAGAGACUCUCAGACGAGCUUUAAUGAAGGAUCUGAUGAACAACAAGAAACUCAGGAAGGAAAAGGGAGCGGCUUUCACAGUAGAUUAUGGUGCUACUUGCAGAAGAAUAGUCUGUGCCAAACUAUUUAAUACAGGCAGGCCAUUUCCUAUUUACUGAGUGUAAAGAUCAAUUGGCCAUUGUGUAAACAUUUGGCAUUCAUGUUUGCUUUGACUUGCCAAGAAGUCUAAGGUCUACAGUCAUAUGCAAAGUUUAGGUGUCCCUGGUCAUAUGAUAUGUUUUUUUGGUUUUCUGAGUGAAAACAAGUUAACAUAACGCCACAAAGAACACACUUCUGCACAUUUUCAUGUACAGUUAUUGUAUAUUUAUGUCCCAAUAUGUUCAACGUUUUAAUGCUAAAAGUUUGUUCCCUGUAGAGAAUGUUAUUUUCACUUAGAUGAUUGAUACAACUGAUAUAGUCAAGCUUUUACCUUCCAAAGCUAUGUGGCUUAUGUGAAAAUGCUGUGUAGACCUCAAUGUUGGGUCAAGAUGGAAAGAGUUAGUGUUUUAGUAAGAAUAGUGACUAAUGAGAGGUCUGUGGGAAAUACAUCAGUGAACAGGUUUGGAAACUGCACACAUUCUAUGACCGUGAUGCUCCUUUAUUGCUGUGAUAUGUAAAGAAAAAACAGCUGUUCAUCAGGUGACUGAUAAUGUCAAUGCAGGAUGUGAUGAGAGAGGGAUGUUACAGGGCUGCAUUCCAAAAACCUCUUAGUAACAAGACAUAUGACAGUUCAUUGCUGUGAAAACCAUAGACACUGGAAAUGAUGAGAAAAAGAUAUAAAUCAUAUGUUACGACCUUCGGAGUAAAUCACAACCCAACUGAACACCUGUGGAAGAUUUUGGACUGAUGUGUUAGACAGCGCUCUCCAGCACUCAAACACUUGCUGAAGGAAUAUCUUUUAGAGGAACAGUGUUCCAUCCCUCCAUUGCAGUUCCACAGACUUCAAUCUAUGCCAAAGUGCAAUUAAGCUGUUCUGGUGGCAGCAACUCCCUAUUAAGGCACUUUAGAUUGGUUUGUUCUUUCUUUGUCACCUGUCUGUAUGUUGCCCAAUAAAAGAAG